rnacentral:rRNA from 1 species
GACGAACGCUGGCGGCGUGCUUAACACAUGCAAGUCGAACGAUGAAAGCUGGAGCUUGCUCCGGCUGGAUUAGUGGCGAACGGGUGAGUAACACGUGCGCAAUCCGCCCUCGACUUUGGGAUAACUCGGAGAAAUCGGUGCCAAUACCGGAUAUGACCCUUGGCGCCAUCGCUGGGGGCGGAAAGUGUUUCGGUCAAGGAUGAGCUCCCGGCCUAUCAGCUUGUUGGGGAGGUAAUGGAUAACCAAGGCGACGACGGGCAGCCGGCCUGAGAGGGUGACCGGCCACACUGGGACUGAGACACGGCCCAGACUCGUACGGGAGGCAGCAGUGGGGAAUAUUGCACAAUGGGCGCUAGCCUGAUGCAGCAACGCCGCGUGGGGGAUGACGGCCGUCGGGUUGUAAACCUCUUUUAGCAGGGAAGAAGCGAAAGUGACGGUACCUGCAGAAAAAGCACCGGCUAACUACGUGCCAGCCGCCGCAGUAA